rnacentral:lncRNA from 1 species
GCUUUUAAAAAUCAACCCAUCAGGCUGGGCACAGUGCUAUGCACUUGUAAUCCUCAGGCAGCAGACGCUGGAGAAUCACCUGAACCCAGGUACUGUAGCUUGGACCUGGAAUGUCCUCCAAAGACCCGUGGGUUGAAGGAUUGGCCCCCAGCUGGUGGCACUAUUGGGAAGUGGUGGAACCUUUUAGGAAGUACAGCCUAUUAGAAGAAAGUUAAGUCACUUGAUGCCCUUGAUGGGGAUAUCAGGAUGCCAGUCUCUUCCUCUUCCUCCUUGCUUCCUGGCUGCCCGGAGGUGAACAGACAUCCUCCUUCAUGUGCUUCUGCCAUGAUGGGCUGUGCUACCACAGCAACAGGUCCAAGUGACUGCGGACUGAAAUGUGAGCAAAUAUAAACCUUUCCUCCUUAAAAGUUGAUUAUCUGGCUGGGGCUGGGGCUCAGCGGUAGAGCACUUGCCUGGCACGUGGGAGGCCUUGGGUUUGAUCCUCAGCACCACAUAAAAAUAAAUAAAUAAACAAAUAAAAUAAAAAUAUUUCUUUAAAAAGUUGAUUAUCUCAGAUAUUUUGUUGCAGAGACAGGAAGCUAAUUAAUACACUAGGAGUUCAAAACCAGCCUGGGUAACAUAGCAGGACCCCAUCUCAAACAAAACAAACAAACAAACAAAAACA